rnacentral:lncRNA from 1 species
UGUCCCUUUACCAUGCUUUAUUUUCCAUAUUCCCCACUACAAUGUAAGUUCCUAGAGCAGAGGGUCUGUGUUUUGAUCAUCACUGGAUCCCCAGCACCUAGAAGGGUCCUUAGCCCAUAGUAGGCACUCAUUAGUGUUUGUUGAAUGGACGGAAGGGGGUGGGGGCUGAAUGUACCUGGAAGAUGGAAAUCCAGGUGACAGAAAUGGCAUGAGCAAAGGAAUGAGGCUGGCUGAAAGCAGGCCAUACUGAUGGGAGGGAGUGGUUCAUGUGAGUGAACAAUGAGAGAAUGUGUGGUUGUUUAUGAGGUAGGAUGGGGCUAGAUCAUCAAAAACUUUAAACAGCCAGCUGCAGAGUUGCUAGAAUUGGAGUUGCUAGAAUUGCAGGGUGUGUGGGCUGGGCCUGGCCCAGGCUUGUGGCAGUGAGAAUGAGAAGGUGAGGAGAUGUUACAUAGAAGCCAUCGGCAGGCUGUGGUGAGUGACAGGAUGGGGAAAAAGGGAGCAUCCAAAGAAGUGGUCCAGCUGUGGAACCUCCAAGAAUGUCGGUGCUUCUGACAAUAUCAGCAAAGUCAGAGUAGAAACCGAUUUUGGAGGCAGGCAGGUGGGCUCUGUGUGAGCUAGGUGCAGCUGAGGGAACGGCAGGACAUCCCAGAGAGGCCUGCCGCCCUGGGCGCUGCCACAUGGGUGCUCCCAGAAGAGGCGAGGGCCUGUUUCCAACCUGCCCUGAGAGCUGACUCAUGAAGCCGCUGGCUCCCACUGCACUCUCUCAACAGCGCCACAGAAAAUACCAUCUCAAAGGACUGGUACGAGCACUGACCAAGCCUCAUUCAAUGAUCUUCAUCACAGAGUGCUGAACACAGUGCCAGACAUCCGUGGGGACGUUCCAGAAAAGUUCAUUUCUCUUGUGUGUUUCCUUCUUCUGGGAAAGGAUUUGGCUGAGUAUGGUCUAAUUCAUACUAAGGUGGUAAUAGCUGAAAAAGCUGAACAUUCUUGUACCCUAAGGAAGAGAUCAUGCUGCUCCAUUCUGUGGUAGACUGUCCGGAAAAAAUGGGAGGGAGUUCGAGAGGGGAUAUAUUAUGACUACAUUCCAAAAUCUGAUCAGCGCGUGGGGCUGGCUGCUGGGUUUCCAUGCCUGCAUACCAAUGAAGCUGCAUCUGGAGCAGAAUAGUUUGUGCCCAUAAACCAUGACCUUCAUUAUCCACGGAGGCGGCCAGCAGUGGCAGUCCCUGUAGAAAUCGUUCCCAUCCCAAUUGCGAGGGUGGCAGAGGCGACAAGACUAUGCCAUUCGUCUCAGCAGCACUAACAAAUGUUUUCUAUAGUGCUGUGCAAAAUACACUCUUC